UACGUAGGGUGCGAGCGUUAAUCGGAAUUACUGGGCGUAAAGCGUGCGCAGGCGGUUCGUUGUGUCGGCGGUGAAAGCCCCGGGCUCAACCUGGGAAUGGCCGUUGAAACUGGCGAACUGGAGUGUGGCAGAGGGGGGUGGAAUUCCGCGUGUAGCAGUGAAAUGCGUAGAGAUGCGGAGGAACACCGAUGGCGAAGGCAGCCAUCUGGACCGACACUGACGCUGAGGCGCGAAAGCGUGGGGAGCAAACAGG
rnacentral:rRNA from 1 species